AGCCAGUGUCUGCAGGAGUACCUGAAAGAGGGCAAGUUGGACUUCCAGUGUCCCUGUGGAGCUGGACAGUCGACAGAACGUCUCUCGUUUUUGACUUUGCCAAAUGUUCUGAUUCUCCAGCUAAAAAGAUUCAUGUUCACCUCGACCUUCAGGCUGAAGAAGGUCAACACUCCUGUACAACUGACCAGGGAGCUUGUGGUGAACCCUGAACACUCCCUCACUGCACAGACAGAGACUCGCUACUCUUUGGUGAGCAUCGUGAGUCAUUUGGGCUCCACAGCUCACAGUGGACACUACAUCUGUGACGGUGCUCACCGGCCUCAGGAACCAGGUGACACAUCAGACUGUUGGCUCACUUACAAUGAUGAGCACGUCACCGUGACAACGGGUGAAUCCGUGUGUCACCUGAGGCAGGCAUCAGCGUACCUUUUGUUUUAUGAAAAGCAGUGAGGAAACAUGGAGACCAGCCCUCAGAACAAGAAGCUGGAACAUCUCCGUGUCUGUGUCUGUCUGUCUGUGUGUCUGUCUGUCUAUGUGUCUGUCUGUGUGUCCGUCUCUCCCUCUCUCUCUCUCUCUCUCUCUCUCUAUCUCUCUCUAUCCCUUCCUCUCUCUCUCUCUCUAUCUCUCUGUCUCUCUCUCUCUCUCCCCCUCUCUCUCUCU
ensembl:lncRNA